ACGUAGGUGGCGAGCGUUAUCCGGAUUUAUUGGGUUUAAAGGGUGCGUAGGCGGUCUAUUAAGUCAGUGGUUAAAGGUAGCAGCUCAACUGUUUUACAUGCCAUUGAAACUGAUAGACUUGAGUUAUCUGGAGGCAGGCGGAAUUUCUGGUGUAGCGGUGAAAUGCAUAGAUACCAGAAGGAACACCUAUUGCGAAGGCAGCUUGCUGUAGAUACACUGACGCUGAUGCACGAAAGCGUGGGGAGCGAACAGG
rnacentral:rRNA from 1 species